GCCCAGAUAGCUCAGUUGGUAGAGCAGAGGACUGAAAAUCCUCGUGUCGCUGGUUUGAUUCCGGCUCUGGGCA
rnacentral:tRNA from 1 species